rnacentral:rRNA from 1 species
GAUGAACGCUAGCGGCAGGCCUAACACAUGCAAGUCGAGGGGCAGCACAGAAACAGCAAUGUUUUGGUGGCGACCGGCGGACGGGUGCGUAACGCGUAUGCAACCUACCUUUAACAGGGGGAGAACGGAGGGAAAUUUCCACUAAUACCCCAUAACAUCGAUCAAGGCAUCUUGAUUGGUUGAAAACUCCGGUGGUUAAAGAUGGGCAUGCGUUGUAUUAGGUAGUUGGUGAGGUAUUGGCUCACCAAGCCUACGAUACAGAGGGGGACUGAGAGGUUAGCCCCCCACACUGGUACUGAGACACGGACCAGACUCCUACGGGAGGCAGCAGUGAGGAAUAUUGGUCAAUGGGGGCAACCCUGAACCAGCCAUGCCGCGUGCAGGAAGACGGCUCUAUGAGUUGUAAACUGCUUUUAAACAGGGAUAAAGCACAGUAUGUAUACUGUGUUGAAGGUACUGUAAGAAUAAGGAUCGGCUAACUCCGUGCCAGCCGCCGCAGUAA